AACGAACGCUGGCGGCAUGCCUAACACAUGCAAGUCGAACGAGACCUUCGGGUCUAGUGGCGCACGGGUGCGUAACGCGUGGGAACCUGCCCUUAGGUUCGGAAUAACUCCCCGAAAGGGGUGCUAAUACCGGAUAAUGUCUUCGGCCCAAAGAUUUAUCGCCUUUGGAUGGGCCCGCGUUGGAUUAGCUAGUUGGUAGGGUAAAAGCCUACCAAGGCGACGAUCCAUAGCUGGUCUGAGAGGAUGAUCAGCCACACUGGGACUGAGACACGGCCCAGACUCCUACGGGAGGCAGCAGUGGGGAAUAGUGGACAAUGGGCGAAAGCCUGAUCCAGCAAUGCCGCGUGAGUGAUGAAGGCCUUAGGGUUGUAAAGCUCUUUUACCCGGGAUGAUAAUGACAGUACCGGGAGAAUAAGCGCCGGCUAACUCCGUG
rnacentral:rRNA from 1 species